GCUUGCUUUAUGAUAAUCUUAGAAUUAUCUGGGUGUUUUUAUUUAAAUUUUAGAUUUACAUGUAAUAAAGUUUGAACCUGGCUUUCUCUUUAUUGUAAAUUAAAUCUAUAUAUGAACAUACUAAUUUAAGAAUAUUAGAGUAGUAGAUGAUUUUAGAUAGUAAAAAAAUUAGAUCUAGUUAAAUUUGUAGGACUGACUAAAAUCGUGCCAGCCGUCGCGGUUAGACGAAGAGUUCAAGUAAAGUAAACUGUUAAAUUUAGUUAACUGUUAUUUUUUAUAGUGGAAUAUCUUUAUUUCUUAGGUGAAAUUUAUACAAUAAAAUAUUUAAACUUUCUAAAAUAUAAGGGUCUGAGAAAUUUAAAGGGAGAAACCAGGAUUAGAUACCCUGUUAUUUUUAAAUUAUUUUUCGAGGGUAGUAAAAGUUGUUCUUCAAACCCAAAGGUUUUGGCGGCAUUCUAACCAAACAGAGGAGCUUGUCUUGUAAUCGAUAACCCCCGUUAAAUCUCUCCUUUUUUUGUACAGCUUGUAUACCUCCGUUGUCAGAUUACUUUAUAAGAAUGUUUUCAAUAAAAAUAAUUUUUUUACUUCAGGUCAAGGUGCAGUUUAUAAAAAGGUAAUGAUGAGCUACAAUUUUUUAAAAAACUAUGGAUGGGAGAUUAAAUUUUCCUUGAAGGUGGAUUUGUUAGUAAAAAAGUUUAAGGAUAAUUUUUUGAAUAAGGUAAUAGAAUGUGCACAUAUCGCCCGUCACUCUCUCUUUAAGGAGAGAUAAGUCGUAACAUAGUAGAUGUACUGGAAAGUGCAUCUAGAAUGAUUA
rnacentral:ncRNA from 1 species